rnacentral:rRNA from 1 species
UACGAGGGGGGCGAGCGUUGUUCGGAAUUAUUGGGCGUAAAGGGUGCGUAGGCGGUUUGGUAAGUCUUAUGUGAAAUCUAUGGGCUCAACUCAUAGACUGCAUGAGAAACUGCCGGGCUUGAGUAUGGGAGAGGUGAGUGGAAUUCCUGGUGUAGCGGUGAAAUGCGUAGAUAUGCGGAGGAACACCGAUGGCGAAGGCAAUCCCCUGGGCCUGCACUGACGCUCAUGCACGAAAGCGUGGGGAGCAAACAGG